CACCACCCCCUUAAAAACCCCCUACCCAAACUCCCCCACUUUACUACUCAUUGCCGCCUUGCUUUGAAUGAAUUUAAGUCUGUUUUCGUAUGCGGUUAUCGUUCUGGAAUUCAAACCGCUAAAAGGUCAGCUGCACUACGUUCGUAAGGUCUUGCCCUCUACAAUUAAUCAAACUUGUAUAGCAAACAAAGUUAUAGAGCCACAGUAAAACCUCUAUUAAUCGAUCAUUAUGAAUACAUAUUGCAAUUUCUUAGCUCUAUCAAAGAGAUUACAUAUUUUACAAAGAAAUUUGUAAUAUAUUUUAAUAAAAAAUUUAAAAAAUAAGAUUUACCUCAGUGAUUCUCAACACUCAACUAAACUAAAAAUUUAUAGUAGUACUUUAAAGUUAAGAAAAAAAAUAACAACAAAAUCAAAUCUUUAAAACGAAAUGAUUUCUAAAACCAAAGACAAGUUCUUAAGAGAUUUCUUUGGCACUCAAAUAUGUUUCUGGAAAUCGGUUGAGAGUAUAAAAAGUAAAAUAGUAGCUAAUGAAAAAGUUUUCAUCUUGACAUUUUUGCAGUCGGAAUUAAAUAGUAUUUUACUUGAGUAAAUCAUAAAGUGGCAGAAAGUUCCAGACACUGAAGUUCUACUGUUUAUAAAUUGAUACGCACACACUGUGCGCCCAAUAGAGGAGUGGGAAUGGGAACGGCUGGAGACUACCGGGGUGUGUCAUUGCGCCCUGCACUUGUCUUCGGCUCCUCAGUUGUCGCUUUCCCCACUUUGUUGUGCUGUCUUCUCUGACAAAAGCGUGGCACACAUUUGUCGACUUGCGCCUCCUUGUCGGGAGUUGGGUUCCCCCGUUCCCCCAAGUUGCCCAGAGUUCCCGACCCCCGGCUCCCCCCAGUCCAUCAUUAACUGCUGUCUCGCUCCAGCAGCGCACGACCUGAAAAACUCUUGUUUUUCGGGUUCUCUGUGUGUUUGUUUGCCUGUUUGUUUAUAAUAGCGCGCGCGGAGCAACAAAUGUUGGCAACAUUUACACAAAAAUUGUUUGAACAAUUGCUGUCUGCGAAACAAAAGGCGCCUACCUACACCUAGUUACAGUCCCCUCCCCCGACCGCCCAUUCACCCGAAAGCACAACAAAAAUUAUGAUAAUAAUGAGACAGCAAUUGUUUAAAAAUAAAAUUAAUUUCCAUGCGCCGCCGUCCUCGCGUAUGGUAAUCGUAAAUUGCCGCUGAAGAGCGUAUAGAACAUUUGAGAUACACUUCAAAAAAGCGGAAUACCGAUGUAUUUAUAGUUGUGUAAACAAAGGCUUUUUAUCCGGGGCGCAGAAUGGAAUGUGUGAACAAAGACGGGGGCUACCAUAUAGAUUACCAUACCGAAACUCCCUGAAGGAGGGCCAGCCAAAGUCCCAAUAAGCCGCUUUUCGGACUGAUAUAUACGUUAUUCGUUGAAACGUCACCCUUAUCAUCGGUCACGCAAAAUAUGACUCAGCAACACGGGGAGCAAAACAAAUAGCGCUGGGAAAGCGAAAACGGAAACGUGGCAAAGGGCGAUUCGUGCCCAUUCGAUGUACUCCAUUAUAUUGCCAAUAUAUAGACAUAGUGCCAAAUCGGAGACAAACUCAGAUGUAGAUGCAGAUGCCCAUGCCAUGUGUCGGACGAACAGCAGAGACAAAGAGCAAAGAGCAGCCCAAGACAUGAGCAAAACAAAGCCGCCGAUAACGCACUAAACGAUGCCUUUCAUGAAUAUACGGCUCCCUGAUAAGGGGCAUAACGGAGCACAGAGUACGGAAUAUGGGGAUACAUUAUAGAGAAUAUGGGGAAUACUAACCAUACAGAGAAGAGCGUAGAAACUGCACUCUAAACAAAGAAAAUAAAGAAAGGUAUACUAGAACUGUU